rnacentral:tRNA from 1 species
GGCGCGGUGGUGUAGGGGUAAACACGCCCUUCACGGGGCGAGAACCGAGGAUUCCCCUACGGUUCCAAGCGCCGGGUUCGAGUCCCGGCCCGCGUCC